AACGAACGCUGGCGGCAGGCCUAACACAUGCAAGUCGAGCGCGCCUUCGGGUGAGCGGCGGACGGGUGAGUAACGCGUGGGAAUAUGCCCUUCUCUACGGAAUAGUCCUGGGAAACUGGGGGUAAUACCGUAUACGCCCUUUGGGGGAAAGAUUUAUUGGGGAAGGAUUAGCCCGCGUUGGAUUAGGUAGUUGGUGGGGUAAUGGCCUACCAAGCCGACGAUCCAUAGCUGGUUUGAGAGGAUGAUCAGCCACACUGGGACUGAGACACGGCCCAGACUCCUACGGGAAGCAGCAGUGGGGAAUCUUAGACAAUGGGGGCAACCCUGAUCUAGCCAUGCCGCGUGAGUGAUGAAGGCCUUAGGGUUGUAAAGCUCUUUCAGCUGGGAAGAUAAUGACGGUACCAGCAGAAGAAGCCCCGGCUAACUCCGUG
rnacentral:rRNA from 1 species